rnacentral:rRNA from 1 species
CUCUUCUUGAAUAUAAUUUGAUGUAUGGCCUGCCCACUGAAUAUUGAAGGGCCGCGGUAUUUUGACCGUGCAAAGGUAGCAUAAUCAUUAGUCUUUUAAUUGUGGACUGGAAUGAAUGGUUUGACGAGGUGUUAACUGUCUUUAAUUUUUUUCAUUGAAUUUAAAUUUUAGGUUAAAAUGCCUAAAUGUUUUUUUGGGACGAGAAGACCCUAUAGAGUUUUAUAUAUUUUUGCUUUUUUGUAUGAUAAAUUUUAAUGUAAAAAUUUAUUUUGUUGGGGUGAUGAGAAGAUUAAAUUAACUCUUUUUGUUUUUUUAUAUUUAUUUAUAUAUAUUUGAUCCAUUUUUAUUGAUUAUAAGACUAAAUUACC